GGAAGGUGUGUAGCUCAGUGACAGAACAUCUGCCUUGCAUGCAGAGGGUCCCCAGUUCAAUACCUGGCAUCUCCA